CGAGGGUGCAAGCGUUAAUCGGAAUUACUGGGCGUAAAGCGAGUGUAGGCGGCUUCGUAAGUCGGAUGUGAAAGCCCUGGGCUUAACCUGGGAAUGGCAUUCGAUACUGCGCGGCUAGAGUCUGAUAGAGGGAUGUGGAAUUCCAGGUGUAGCGGUGAAAUGCGUAGAGAUCUGGAGGAACACCAGUGGCGAAGGCGGCAUCCUGGAUCAAGACUGACGCUGAGGCUCGAAAGCGUGGGGAGCAAACAGGAUUAGAUACCCGAGUAGUCC
rnacentral:rRNA from 1 species